CUACGGGUGGCUGCAGUGGGGAAUAUUGCGCAAUGGAGGAAACUCUGACGCAGCCAUGCCGCGUGAGUGAAGAAGGCCUUAGGGUUGUAAAGCUCUUUCAGAUGUGAUGAUGAUGACAGUAGCAUCAGAAGAAGUUCCGGCUAACUUCGUGCCAGCAGCCGCGGUAAUACGAAGGGAACUAGCGUUGUUCGGAUUUACUGGGCGUAAAGAGCAUGUAGGCGGAUUGGUCAGUUGGGGGUGAAAGCCCGGAGCUCAACUCCGGAACUGCCUUCAAUACUGCCAGUCUAGAGUCCGUAAGGGGGUGGUGGAAUUCCGAGUGUAGAGGUGAAAUUCGUAGAUAUUCGGAGGAACACCAGUGGCGAAGGCGACCACCUGGUACGGUACUGACGCUGAGAUGCGAAAGCGUGGGGAGCAAACAGGAUUAGAUACCCUCGUAGUC
rnacentral:rRNA from 1 species